rnacentral:sRNA from 1 species
UCCUCUAGACAACCCCAACUAAUGCACCCACUGUGGUUUUUAUUGAAGAAAGAGUCAUUCCUCCAGUCUCCCAGGGAUGCUCAAAGCUUCUUAUACAUUAGCAGUAAAGAUCUUUUGCUUUUUCCAUCAUUAAAAAAUUCUGCACAUCACGUUUCACUGUAAAGUGAGUGGCUCUGUCUACUUACUGCUAGAGAUACGGUUCCUGAAAGUAGGCCAAUACCAAGAAGACUCUUCAUGGAUUUACCGUGUCUUGCAUUCUCUUCAAAAGACCAAAAGAAGUCUGCCACGUUGUCUAAAAGUUGCCUGCACCCUCUGUGAAGAAGUAUUCAAAACCAUCACAACAUCUGCACUUCCUAACCUGCUUCUCCUUGAGAAAUCUAAUGGUGGUAAUGUGUCCAGGAGACAGCCCUAAGACUAGGCUGCUUUAUUCAGAACCACAGGAAAGAUGGGAACCUACUCCCAUCAAGAUCUACUAUUCUCAGUAAGAGUUCAGAUUUCUUUUAGGUUUUGGUGGUGGUGUUGUUGUUGUUGUUUUGCUCUGAAUUCAAAAGGUACAAGAAUGUUGAAAACAGACUCUCCCUAAAAUCUUCUCCACAUUCUCUUAAUGCCAGUGACCAACUCCAGGUCAUCUCCAGGCAGAUGCUGAAUACAUAACAGUAUGUGUACUACUGUUGUUCCGGGGAACACCAUGUUAGCCGAUACUGGUGCUAUUCAGACUCUUCGAGCUACAGCUGAUGUUUGGCUUGGGAUCUCCGCAUCUGUUUUCAACCGCUGUUGGAUGAAGCCCCUCAGAAGACAGUUUUGCUAGGCUCCUGAAGAUUUAAAGCCUUCGCUGCUCUGUAGCCAAAAGGUGGAUGCUGCAAUGCGUCAUGGGAAGAUGGCUUAUGGUUCAGAUGAAUUCACCAUAAUCCUGCAGAAACCUUACUCUUUAAUCCUCUAAUGACAAUGUCGCUAAACAGAAGCCACUGCUGCCAUCAUUAAUACAUCCACACAUGACCAAGCUAAGAAAUUCCAUUUGGAAACUUUGCAUCAGAAAAUGUCAGUUCCACUGAAUUUGAAGUGAGAUUGCUAUUUCAUUGUUCUUAUUGUUUUGUUUGGUUUGCUUUGUUUUGUUUUCUGAGACAAGG